rnacentral:rRNA from 1 species
GAGUGAACGCUGGCGGUAGGCCUAACACAUGCAAGUCGAGCGGCAGCACAGUAAGAGCUUGCUCUUACGGGUGGCGAGUGGCGGACGGGUGAGGAAUACAUCGGAAUCUACUUUUUCGUGGGGGAUAACGUAGGGAAGCUUACGCUAAUACCGCAUACGACCUACGGGUGAAAGCAGGGGAUCUUCGGACCUUGCGCGAUUGAAUGAGCCGAUGUCGGAUUAGCUAGUUGGCGGGGUAAAGGCCCACCAAGGCGACGAUCCGUAGCUGGUCUGAGAGGAUGAUCAGCCACACUGGAACUGAGACACGGUCCAGACUCCUACGGGAGGCAGCAGUGGGGAAUAUUGGACAAUGGGCGCAAGCCUGAUCCAGCCAUACCGCGUGGGUGAAGAAGGCCUUCGGGUUGUAAAGCCCUUUUGUUGGGAAAGAAAAGCAGCAGGUUAAUACCCCGCUGUUCUGACGGUACCCAAAGAAUAAGCACCGGCUAACUUCGUG